UACGGGGGGAGCAAGCGUUGUUCGGAUUUACUGGGCGUAAAGGGCGCGUAGGCGGCCACCGCAAGUCGACUGUGAAAUCUCCGGGCUUAACCCGGAAAGGUCAGCCGAUACUUCGGGGCUAGAGUGCAGAAGGGGCAACUGGAAUUCUCGGUGUAGCGGUGAAAUGCGUAGAUAUCGAGAGGAACACCUGCGGCGAAGGCGGGUUGCUGGGCUGACACUGACGCUGAGGCGCGAAAGCUAGGGGAGCAAACGGG
rnacentral:rRNA from 1 species